CCUACGGGAGGCAGCAGUGGGGAAUAUUGCACAAUGGGGGAAACCCUGAUGCAGCGACGCCGCGUGAGUGAAGAAGUAACUCGUUAUGUAAAGCUCUAUCAGCAGGGAAGAAAAUGACGGUACCUGAGUAAGCAGCCCCGGCUAACUACGUGCCAGCAGCCGCGGUAACACGUAGGGCGCAAGCGUUAGUCGGAUUUACUGGGUGUAAAGGGGGCGUAGACGGGAGUGCAAGUUUGGAGUGAAAGGCGGGGGGUCAACCCCCGGACUGCUCUGGAAACUGUACGGCUGGAGUGCGGGAGAGGUAAGUGGAAUUCGUGGUGUAGCGGUGAAAUGCGUAGAUAUUAGGAAGAACACCGGUGGCGAAGGCAGCUUACUGGACUGUAACUGACGUUGAGGCACGAAAGCGUGGGGAGCGAACAGGAUUAGAUACCCUUGUAGUC
rnacentral:rRNA from 1 species